rnacentral:rRNA from 1 species
UACGGGGUGCAGCAGGCGCGAACACUUUACAAUGCGGGAAACCGCGAUAAGGGAACCCCGAGUGCCAGCAUCAAAUGUUGGCUGUCCAGAUGAUUAAAAAUCAUUUGUUAGCAAGGGCCGGGCAAGACCGGUGCCAGCCGCCGCGGUAACACCGGCGGCCCGAGUGGUAGCCGUUUUUAUUGGGUCUAAAGGGUCCGUAGCCGGCCUGAUAAGUCCUUUGGGAAAUCUGGCAGCUUAACUGUCAGGCUUCUAAGGGAUACUGUCAGGCUUGGGACCGGAAGAGGUAAGGGGUACUCCAGGGGUAGGAGUGAAAUCUUGUAAUCCCUGGGGGACCAUCUGUGGCGAAGGCGCCUUACCAGAACGGGUCCGACGGUGAGGGACGAAAGCUAGGGGAGCAAACCGGAUUAGAUACCCGGGUAGUCCUAGCUGUAAACGAUGCUCGCUAGGUGUCAGACACGGUGCGACCGUGUUUGGUGCCGCAGGGAAG